CGCUGGGUCCGCGCGCCCUGGGCCGGGCGAUGUCCGCUUGGGGGAGCGAGGGGCGGGGCG
rnacentral:ncRNA from 2 species